AAAGUCUUGAAAAAUUGCAGUACUUUGAGUAGUUUAAAAAUUUAAAUGAGUCGAUUUUGACAUGAGAAACGAAGAAUGUGGAAAACCAACAAAACAUUUUGAUGGAAGACAAUGCUCUGUGUUUGGUGGUAUCAGAAGGGUGUGAUCUAUUAUGAGCUAUUAAAACCUGGCGAAACUAUUAAUACUCAGUGCUACCGAUAACAAAUGAACAAUUUAAAUCAAACUGUGUGAAAAACGACCAAAAUAUCAAAAAUGAUAAGUGAUUUUGAUUUAUGAUAAUGUCUCAUCACAUAGCAAAACUAGUCAAAGAAUCAAUCGAGGCUUUUAGUUGGGAAAUACUUUUGUAUGCGGCUUACUCACCAGACUUAACUUCGUCCAAUUAUUAUUUUUUGCCUUGCUGAGCAGUGCUUCACUUCUUACGAAAAUGUACAAAAAAUGGAUCGAUGACUGGAUCACCAGAAAAAAUUAACAGUUUUUUUGGCAAAAGAUUCACAAAUUACCAAGCAGAUGAAAAAAAUGUAUAGCUAUAGCAAUAGGCAAUAUUCCGAAUAAAAUAUUUGUUAUCUGUUUCAUACAAUAAAUGUAAAUUUUCUGUAAAAAAUUUCCGGUUUCAUAUUUACAGAUCUGCUAGUAUCUACACAAGACUUUUCAAUUAGGGUACUAUUAAUAGUAAAUUGUGUUUAAUGCAAGCCCACAGUGGGU